AUUGAGCCAAAAGAGCCAACAAGUCCAAGAAAAACGUGUCCAGCGAGUUAGUAGGAAAAUGACAGCGUCUGUUUGUGUAGCACUGUUUUAGCACUAACAGUAGUUCACCCUGAGUGUUGAAAUGGUGAAAGCACUGCGUAAGGAAAGCGAAAUUCUGAGCAGAUUGUUUUUGCUUUUUUUUUUGUCUAUUCUGCUGAAGUUGUUAAAGUUUAAAUACAGUCACUGUUGUAUUAUUGUUAGUUUUUCAUGAUGGAUUGAGUUUUUCUUUAUUCUGGGAUAGCAUGAUAACUCAACAAGUAACUUAAAAAAACAAAAACAAAGCAAAAUAAAUUUGAACUUGCGAACUAAUUAGAAUUUACUGUGAAUUAUCUCUAAAUCAGACCGGGUCAAAUUAUUGCAGAGCUCCUACACAGUCUUGAAAUCUGGAAAAUAAUUAAAUGUUUUGCAUGAAUAUGGAAAAAAAAAUUUUAGUAGUUACGGAAUAAUGCUUUAUUUCCCAGAAUUUGUUGCUUAUUCUACUUUCUUCCAUGUUUAAAAGAAAAAAGUCUAAUAGUACUCAACAAAUAUGGUGGUGUUUUUUGACAUUGUUUCCUAUUAAAAUGUUUUGCUUCAUCUUUAUGUUGCCAAAUUACACCUUGAUUCUAACAAUUUACCCAUCAGUAGUGAAUCGCAAAUUGAAUGCCUUCAGAAAUGGGGACGCACAGAUAAAAAUCGACCGGCUGAUAAAUGGACUCUGGUUUCCUUCAUUUUGGGAGAUCGGCGAUAAUCUGAUACUUGAAUUGGAAACUGAUCUAAUCUGCCUCUGCAAAGGUCUGAAAAUCCACCACCGUCCUUUUAUCUCCGCUGUUAGAGAGGGCAGAAUGACAAGUUUCCACACCAGAUCACGUCUGUACAUGAUUGGCUAAAAAUAGUCACAUCACUGUUCUCAACUUAAAAAAACUUUCACUAAAUUCCAGACAAAAAAAAAAAAAAGUGUAUCGGCCAAAAUCGAAAGGUAUGUGUUUGACCAGGAACCUGCAAUCAGUGCACUGCAAUUCAAAAACCAAAGUGGAGCUGUUACUGGUUCCGCUGGACCCUGUGGUAAUUAAACUGGGUCUGAAAUACCAAACCGGGCCCUGAAACCGCUUCUUAAAUAAAGGUGCAGAACCGUGGCUUUAGAGAAUCUGCGUCUGUUUUGGGUCAUUUGGUUAAAAUUUGCUUUCUCUUUGGUGAUCCCACUUUGAAACUUGUUAUGGCACGGAUAAAUCAGGGUAACAUCAAACUCAACUCCAUUCCCUUAAAAAACUAUUAUUAAAAGCCAGGAAAACAAACUUUUUAAAAAGCUCCAACAUUUCUGGUAAGAACAGCUAAACAUUCAGCCAGAACUAUGCCAGGACGGCAUCUUUACAACUUGCUAAAAGGCUUUUUGACAAAAAUAAUCACUUAGGUCAUUUAAGCCCAAUGAGGGUAUACUCUGUAAACUGACAGUAAAUCAAUGCAACAUUCAGCGGCAGCGUCUGACAAAAGAUUUAAGUGUAAAACAUCAUGACAAAGAUUGGGCUGGAUCUCUGUCGUGAACAAUAACUCAGGACAUCCUGUUAAAUCCGCUGUCCUUAAAAUCUUCCUGGGAUCGUCUCCUAGGGCGACAGACUCUCCUGACAAGCCUGAACCCGUCCGCCGUCUGUUAGUUUUCACAUAAAAACGAGGAGCUUUUUUUUUUUUUUCCUUCCUCCUCCUGUCUAGUACCUCAGAUUGCAGCCUGUGGGCAGAAAUCUCCCCAUAAACACUAUGAACCUCACAUCACUGCACUGGUUUGUACAUGGAAAUUAUCACCAGGCUUUUUAUUACGUUAAGCUGCAAACAAGCCUGUUUGCUAUUAAGGCCUGUUGUAGUAACAGACGAAACUUGCUGAAACUCUUUGUAUUUUAAGUUUAAUUGGAUUUUACACUCCAAAAAAAAAAAAAAAAACACACACACACAUUCUUACCAAGUAUUUUUAAUUUAGCUUCUAGUGACAAUACUUGAAAUGAGACAAAGCUAAACUAAUAACAUUGGAAAAUGUCUUAUUAGAAGUGCCAUUGGAACCAGCACAUUUUCAUCAAUGUUAAGGAAUUAACAAGCCCCCGUAUCUUGCUGAAAAGUUGUUUGUAAGUUAUUUUUGUCUUAGCUCAAGUGAACGAACAUAUUUUCACUAGAAACUAGACCAAAAAAUACUUUUUUUGUUUUCACGAAGCUUUACACCGCAGCCAUGAAACAGAAGCUUUACAUCUUCAUGUAGGUAGAUUUAUUACCAAAUGUGAAAUGUAUUGCUACGUUCAGUCAGCCUUCACACAACACUUUGUCCACAGCGGCUUCCUGAAUGAAAGGUUUCAGUUUUAGCUCUAAUCAGCAGUUCUUGCUCUCCGCCAGAACAGCAAGCAGCAUGAAGGAGGUCGGGGCUCUCGGCUAAGCGGCCCAGUCGUGCAAACAUUUGCUCACAGAAGCACAACCUGCACAUCCUGGCUCUCCUUUUAAGGCCGCUCCUCUUAGAGGGAAUCUCGGACCGAGCCAAGUUUUCCUUGUGAUGUUUGGACAAAGGAAAGCUGGAGGCAGCCCUCCAUGUGGGAUGCGAGCCUCCGAGCCGUGAAAGAGGUUACGAGUUUUGAGACUUCGGUUUUUAUCUGCACUUUAUGUAAGGACAUGUCUGCGAUAGCUUUUAAUCUCUCUUAAUUUCCUUUAAUUUUAAGGCACAAGCCUCUAAAAUCCCAGUUACAAACUUUUUUUGUCUUUCUUUUCUCAACCAAAUCAGCUUUAUUUUUUACACUUUGCAUGCUGCUGUAAUUGCUGCCUUUUACUUUUUUUUUCAAUGCAUACAUUUCACACACACAAAAAGCAAAUUGGUUUAUUUUUUUUAGUUCUAAAUUUGAACAAAUACCAUUUUACGGGGCUUUACAACAUAUAGAGGUCCAAUUUAGAGCAACUUACGUGUUAUAUAUAAUCCAUAUUCAGUUCAAAUAAAUCCAGAUCGUUCCAGUGCAGUCUAAACAUAUUCACAUUCUAGAUCCAGUCCACUUUCAUUCCUUCCUAAAUAUACAGCUCAUAUAAUGCCAGCUGGUAUUACAUUGAGUUAUUGAUUUUUACAGCAAUCCCUUAUAUUAAGCAAAUAUCGUUUCAUACAUUCAAACAGCUUGUAAAUAAAUGGUCUUCUUCCAUUCUCCUCAUUCUUUAUUUAUAUUUUUACUAUUUUAUAGAUUUAAAAAAAAUCUCUCUGUAUUGUAUCUCAGUAGUAAGGAUGUAACAUGUUAGUGGUGCAGAUAUCGACAUGUGUUCAUGGCUAACGUUUCCAUGCUACAGUUCUUUAACGUUGUAAAACGUUGUUCUUUAACGUUUUAAAGAACAACGUUUUACAACGUUAAAGAACGUUUUACAAACGUUAAAGAACGUUUUACAAAACGUUCUUUAACGUUUGUAAAACGUUCGUUACACAUUCGUGUAACAUGAAUCCUGCCUCGUACGUUAUGAUUUUUAAUUAGCUUUGCUAAGCUAGCGAGGCGAGAGGAGUAAAGCAGCUGGACACGUUCAGCAAUCAGCCAAUCAGAAAAAAUGAAGAUGGCAAAUAACAUUUGAAUGGAUUACUGUAACUUAUAUUUUACAAUAAUGAUUGAAAAACAAAAUUUGAUUAAAAAAAAUGUAUAUAUAUAUCAAAAAAAAUUCUGAUAAGCAAAAAAAGUUUUUAUUUUUAUAUAUAAUUUACUAGUCGUUUUCUGAGGCCCCUCUUUGAAAGGCAAUGCUCUAGAUUACACUUUUUUUCUCUGUUUAUUUAUUUUUUUAGUUUUAAUAUAACACAAACCGAGAGUCGUCCUGAUUCCAUCAAUUUCGGAGCGCUUGCUGAUUAAUCGCUCGAUUUCCCCGAAGCGAUUCCCCUGGUAAUUCUCUGUGGGCGGUUCGGAUUAAUUUAUCGCAGCCAAACGUCAAAAGAAAACA